AUUGAACGCUGGCGGCAUGCUUUACACAUGCAAGUCGGACGGCAGCACAGAGAAGCUUGCUUCUUGGGUGGCGAGUGGCGAACGGGUGAGUAAUAUAUCGGAACGUACCGAGUAAUGGGGGAUAACUAAUCGAAAGAUUAGCUAAUACCGCAUAUUCUCUGAGGAGGAAAGCAGGGGACCUUCGGGCCUUGCGUUAUUCGAGCGGCCGAUAUCUGAUUAGCUAGUUGGUGGGGUAAAGGCCUACCAAGGCGACGAUCAGUAGCGGGUCUGAGAGGAUGAUCCGCCACACUGGGACUGAGACACGGCCCAGACUCCUACGGGAGGCAGCAGUGGGGAAUUUUGGACAAUGGGCGCAAGCCUGAUCCAGCCAUGCCGCGUGUCUGAAGAAGGCCUUCGGGUUGUAAAGGACUUUUGUCUGGGAAGAAAAGGCUGUUGCUAAUAUCAAUAGCUGAUGACGGUACCUGAAGAAUAAGCACCGGCUAACUACGUG
rnacentral:rRNA from 1 species